GGCCCCAUGGUCAAGCGGUUAAGACACCACCCUUUCACGGUGGGAACAGGGGUUCGAAUCCCCUUGGGGUCA
rnacentral:tRNA from 1 species